UACGAGGGGGGCGAGCGUUGUUCGGAAUUAUUGGGCGUAAAGCGUGCGCAGGCGGUCGUGUAAGUCAGAUGUGAAAUCCCCGGGCUCAACCUGGGAAUUGCAUUUGAGACUGCACGGCUAGAGUGUGUCAGAGGGGGGUAGAAUUCCACGUGUAGCAGUGAAAUGCGUAGAGAUGUGGAGGAAUACCGAUGGCGAAGGCAGCCCCCUGGGAUAACACUGACGCUCAUGCACGAAAGCGUGGGGAGCAAACAGG
rnacentral:rRNA from 1 species